rnacentral:misc_RNA from 1 species
AACGCAACUUGCGCUUCUGGGUAUCCCUGGAAGCAUGCCCCUUUGAGUAUCGUUUCAACACAACCUCGCCUGCGUGCUUGUGAAAACGAGCAAUGCAAGCGGAGAAUGAGCGUUUGACCUUCACGGGUUAAUCGUUUGAAACAUAUCAUACUCUAGUAUCAAUCGUCGAGCAUGUCUCGCCUGGUUGAUGUUUGAUAAUUGACUUCGGUCAUUAUACAUCAUUACAUCGACAACAGGAGAUCGGUAUUCGUGUAUGUAUCAAGGAAUUGUAUCAGCAAUUCGUUAAUUCGAAUUCUGGUCUGACUUUGAUCUCAGAUGGAGUAAGAAAACCCGCCGAAUUUAA